UUCCAGGACAUACUGAUGAGGAUGUCAAAAAUGCAGUUGGGGCCCUCG
rfam:Influenza A virus (A/swine/1976/1931(H1N1)) nonstructural protein 2 and nonstructural protein 1, complete cds.